GAUGAACGCUAGCGGCAGGCUUAACACAUGCAAGUCGAGGGGCAGCGCGGGAUAGCAAUAUCCUGGCGGCGACCGGCGGAAGGGUGCGUAACGCGUGAGCGACAUGCCCGUUGCCCGGGGACAACCGGUGGAAACGCCGACUAAUCCCCGAUGGGAUACGAUGCUUCAUGGCAUUGUAUUGAAAGUUACGGCGGCGACGGAUUGGCUCGCGUCCGAUUAGCUGGUUGGCGGGGUAACGGCCCACCAAGGCUGCGAUCGGUAGGGGUUCUGAGAGGAAGGCCCCCCACAAUGGGACUGAGACACGGCCCAUACUCCUACGGGAGGCAGCAGUGAGGAAUAUUGGUCAAUGGGCGGAAGCCUGAACCAGCCAUGCCGCGUGCGGGAAGGAGGCCCUAUGGGCUGUGAACCGCUUUUGCCUGGGGGCAAUAAGGGCGUUGCGCACGUCCGAUGAGAGUACCAGGCGAAUAAGCAUCGGCUAACUCCGUG
rnacentral:rRNA from 1 species